GUGGAUAGGGGUGAAAGGCCAAUCAAACUCAGUGAUAGCUGGUUCUCUCCGAAAUAUAUUUAGGUAUAGCCUCAAGAAUUGGCAUGUAGGGGUAAAGCACUGAAUGGGCUAGGGCUACUUACCGUGGUACCAAACCCAAUCAAACUCUGAAUACUACAUGUUUUAUCUUGGGAGUCAGGCGAUGGGUGAUAAAAUCCACCGUCGAGAGGGGAACAACCCAGACUACCAAAUAAGGUCCCUAAGUUCUAUCUAAGUGGAAAAGGAUGUAACAUUGCUUAGACAAUUAGGAGGUUGGCUUAGAAGCAGCCACCCUUUAAAGAAAGCGUAACAGCUCACUAAUCUAGCGAUGAUGCGCCGAAAAUAUAACGGGGCUAAGAUAGACACCGAAUUUGUAGACCCGCCAGGGUGGUAGGAGAGCGUUCUAAAAUCAGUGAAGCUGUAUCGACAAGAAGCAGUGGAGAUUUUAGAAGUGAGCAUGCAGGUAUGAGUAACGAUAAAACAGGUGAGAAUCCUGUUCGCCGAAAACCCAAGGUUUCCUACGCGAUGCUCGUCAUCGUAGGGUUAGUCUGGUCCUAAGCCGAGUCCGAAAGGGGUAGGUGAUGGGAAAUCGGUUAAUAUUCCGAUACCAACUUUAAAUUGUGAUGGAAGGACGCAUAGGGCUAUCUGAGGUCGCUGAUGGAAUAGCGGCUCGAAGGAUGUAGGUAGAAAAAUUGGUAAAUCCGUUUUUUGUUUCCGAAAUCUGACAGGCUCUUGAAGCCCUUCGGGGUGGAUUGAGAAUCAGGGAUGCCGUCGUGCCAAGAAAAGUUUCUAAGCUUAGUUUAAAGUUGCCAGUACCGUAAACCGACACAGGUGGGUGAGAUGAGUAUUCUCAGGCGCGCAGAAGAACCGUGAUUAAGGAACUCUGCAAAAUAGCACCGUAUCUUCGGUAUAAGGUGUGCCACAGCAAUGUGGUCUCAGCAAAGAGUCCCUCCCGACUGUUUACCAAAAACACAGCACUCUGCCAACAAGUAAUUGGAUGUAUAGGGUGUGACGCCUGCCCGGUGCUGGAAUGUUAAGGGGAUUUGUUAGGCAACGAAGCAAUGAACCGAAGCACCAGUAAACGGCGGCCGUAACUAUAACGGUCCUAAGGUAGCGAAAUUCCUUGUCG
rnacentral:rRNA from 1 species